AAGCGGUGGAGCAUGUGGUUUAAUUCGAAGCAACGCGAAGAACCUUACCAGGUCUUGACAUCCUUUGACCACUCUAGAGAUAGAGCUUCCCCUUCGGGGGCAAAGUGACAGGUGGUGCAUGGUUGUCGUCAGCUCGUGUCGUGAGAUGUUGGGUUAAGUCCCGCAACGAGCGCAACCCUUAUUGUUAGUUGCCAUCAUUCAGUUGGGCACUCUAGCAAGACUGCCGGUGACAAACCGGAGGAAGGUGGGGAUGACGUCAAAUCAUCAUGCCCCUUAUUGAACUG
rnacentral:rRNA from 1 species